ACGGAAGGCAGCAGUGGGGAAUAUUGCACAAUGGGGGAAACCCUGAUGCAGCGACGCCGCGUGAGUGAAGAAGUAUUUCGGUAUGUAAAGCUCUAUCAGCAGGAAAGAAAAUGACGGUACCUGACUAAGAAGCCCCGGCUAACUACGUGCCAGCAGCCGCGGUAAUACGUAGGGGGCAAGCGUUAUCCGGAUUUACUGGGUGUAAAGGGAGCGUAGACGGCUUUGCAAGUCUGAAGUGAAAGCCCGGGGCUCAACCCCGGAACUGCUGUGGAAACUGUAGAGCUAGAGUGCAGGAGAGGUAAGUGGAAUUCCUAGUGUAGCGGUGAAAUGCGUAGAUAUUAGGAGGAACACCAGUGGCGAAGGCGGCUUACUGGACUGUAACUGACGUUGAGGCUCGAAGGCGUGGGGAGCAAACAGGAUUAGAUACCCUGGUA
rnacentral:rRNA from 1 species